rnacentral:rRNA from 1 species
UACCAGCACCCCGAGUGGUCGGGACGUUUAUUGGGUCUAAAGCAUCCGUAGCCGGUUCUACAAGUCUUCCGUUAAAUCCACCUGCUUAACAGAUGGGCUGCGGAAGAUACUAUGGAGCUAGGAGGCGGGAGAGGCAAGCGGUACUCGAUGGGUAGGGGUAAAAUCCGUUGAUCCAUUGAAGACCACCAGUGGCGAAGGCGGCUUGCCAGAACGCGCUCGACGGUGAGGGAUGAAAGCUGGGGGAGCAAACCGG